rnacentral:rRNA from 1 species
GUAGGUGAACCUGCGGAAGGAUCAUUAAAAAAGAUACGAGGUUGUCCCUCGGCAUGAGUACGCCCUCCACUGGCUCCGGCUUCAUGCUGGCCGACUGUGGGGGAUACACAUCCACCCUGUGUGAAACACCUGUUGCUUUGGCAGCUCUUCUCGCGAAGGUCAGUCUGUCAAAAGCUCAAAAGAAACUCUUUGUUUAUAAACAUGGUCGUAAAAGAAAUGAAAAUUCUUUAAAACUUUCAACAACGGAUCUCUUGGUUCUCGCAUCGAUGAAGAACGCAGCGAAACGCGAUAGGUAAUGUGAAUUGCAGAAUUCAGUGAAUCAUCGAAUCUUUGAACGCACAUUGCGCCUUUUGGUAUUCCGAGAGGCAUGUCUGUUUGAGCGUCAUUACAAACCCUCAAGCUUAGCUUGGUGUUGAGCCCCUYUUUCCGGCUCUAAUGUGGUACGCUUGCGGGCUCUCCCWUGAUUACAACGUAGUAAAACUUCUUUCGUUGUGUUGGAAGGGGAGCCUCGCCUGAAAUCAAAUCUCAGAGUUUGACCUCAGAUCAGACAAGGAUACCCGCUGAACUUAA